rnacentral:rRNA from 1 species
CCUACGGGAGGCAGCAGUCGAGAAUCAUUCACAAUGGGGGAAACCCUGAUGGUGCGACGCCGCGUGGGGGAAUGAAGGUCUUCGGAUUGUAAACCCCUGUCAUGUGGGAGCAAAUUAAAAAGAUAGUACCACAAGAGGAAGAGACGGCUAACUCUGUGCCAGCAGCCGCGGUAAUACAGAGGUCUCAAGCGUUGUUCGGAAUCACUGGGCGUAAAGCGUGCGUAGGCUGUUUCGUAAGUCGGGUGUGAAAGGCGCGGGCUCAACCCGCGGAAGGCACAUGAUACUGCGAGGCUAGAGGAAUGGAGGGGGAACCGGAAGUCUCGGUGUAGCCGGGAAAUGCGUAGAUAUCGGGAGGAACACUCGUGGCGAAGGCGGGUUCCUGGACAUUAACUGACACUGAGGCACGAAGGCCAGGGGAGCGAAAGGGAUUAGAUACCCCGGUAGUC